UACAGAGGGUGCGAGCGUUAAUCGGAAUUACUGGGCGUAAAGCGCGCGUAGGCGGCUUUGCAAGUCGGGUGUGAAAUCCCCAGGCUUAACCUGGGAACUGCGAUUCGAGACUGCAUUGCUUGAGUACGGAAGAGGCGAGUGGAAUUCCCGGUGUAGCGGUGAAAUGCGCAGAUAUCGGGAAGAACACCCGUGGCGAAGGCGGUUCUCUGGGACGGUACUGACGCUGAGACGCGAAAGCGUGGGGAGCGAACAGG
rnacentral:rRNA from 1 species